rnacentral:rRNA from 1 species
AGCUCCAAUAGCGUAUAUUAAAGUUGUUGCAGUUAAAAAGCUCGUAGUUGAACUUUAGGCCCGGUUGGAUGGUCUGCUCUAGGGUUUGUACUGUCCUGACUGGGUCUUACCUUCUGGUGAGCUGUCGUGUUGUUUACUCAGUGCGGCAGGGAACCAGGACUUUUACUUUGAACAAAUUGGAGUGUUUCACGCGGGCAUUUGCUUGAACACAUUAGCAUGGAAUAAUAGAAUAGGACUUUGGUUCUAUUUUGUUGGUUUCUAGGACCGAAGUAAUGAUUAAUAGGGAUAGUUGGGGGCAUUAGUAUUUAAUUGUCAGAGGUGAAAUUCUUGGAUUUAUGAAAGACUAACUACUGCGAAAGCAUUUGCCAAGGAUGUUUUCA